rnacentral:rRNA from 1 species
AGAGUUUGAUCAUGGCUCAGGAUGAACGCUAGCGGCAGGCUUAACACAUGCAAGUCGAGGGGUAACAGAGGUAGCAAUACCUGCUGACGACCGGCGAACGGGUGAGUAACGCGUAUGCAACCUUCCUCGAACUGGGGGAUAGCCCGAAGAAAUUCGGAUUAAUACCCCAUAGUAUCCGGUAAUCGCAUGGUUUUCGGAUUAAAGCUCCGGCGGUUUGAGAUGGGCAUGCGUGACAUUAGCUUGUUGGUGAGGUAACGGCUCACCAAGGCAACGAUGUCUAGGGGGUCUGAGAGGAUGAUCCCCCACACUGGUACUGAGACACGGACCAGACUCCUACGGGAGGCAGCAGUGAGGAAUAUUGGGCAAUGGACGCAAGUCUGACCCAGCCAUGCCGCGUGCAGGAUGACGGCCCUAUGGGUUGUAAACUGCUUUUGUAUGGGAAGAAACCCCCGGACGUGUCCGGGGUUGACGGUACCGUACGAAUACUUUCCUACAUCGGUCGUUACCGGCGGACGCUCCACGAUGUACCAACAGCAGUCGAGCACGGCACUCCACAGUCCAAUUCAGGAUAUUGCUCGCGUUGGGGAUAAGUAUCAACGGUCGUAUAAUGCUACCCCUGAGAUACUUUUGACGGACGCGUUCGUCACUCCUUCCACCCCUACUGCAGUUUAGUCGUGCCGGGAAUACAGGACCCGAUGUGUGCACGAUGUUACCGGCCAUGUUUUCCGGCGUUGAUGCGUUCAUCUUCGAUUAGGGAUUUUGGCCAGAGUCAAGCCUAACCUCAGACGUUGGGCUGAGGUACUUCGGCCUAAGCGAUCAUUAGCGUGUAGUCGGUACCGCGCCACUUAUGCAAGGGCCCGGAACAUGUGUGGCGGGCAGUUCGGUACCUUCGACCUCCAUGGACUUCAGGCAUUGGGAAUUCCUCGCCGGAUUCCAUUUGAGUCACUGACCCCGAGCGAGGAACCUUACCUGGGCUUAAAUGCAGAACGACAGACUGGGAAACUGGUCUUUCUUCGGACGGUCUGCAAGGUGCUGCAUGGUUGUCGUCAGCUCGUGCCGUGAGGUGUCGGGUUAAGUCCCAUAACGAGCGCAACCCCUAUUCUUAGUUGCCAGCGGGUAAUGCCGGGGACUCUAAGAAAACUGCCAGCGUAAGCUGUGAGGAAGGUGGGGAUGACGUCAAAUCAGCACGGCCCUUAUGUCCAGGGCUACACACGUGUUACAAUGGCCGGUACAAAGGGCAGCUACCACGCGAGUGGAUGCUAAUCUCGAAAACCGGUCUCAGUUCGGAUCGAAGUCUGCAAUUCGACUUCGUGAAGUUGGAUUCGCUAGUAAUCGCGCAUCAGCCACGGCGCGGUGAAUACGUUCCCGGGUCUUGUACACACCGCCCGUCAAGCCAUGGAAGCUGGGGGUGCCUGAAGUCCGUAACCGCAAGGAGCGGCCUAGGUAAAACCAGUGACUGG